UCCUUGGUGGUUCAGGGAUUAGGACUCUGAGCUUCCAAUGCAGGGGCCUGGGUUCCAUCCCUGGUCAGGGAA
rnacentral:tRNA from 1 species